GCCGGGGUGGUGAAAUUGGUAGACACGCGUGGUUUAGGACCACGUACCGCAAGGCGUGGAGGUUCGAGUCCUCUCCCCGGCA
rnacentral:tRNA from 1 species